CAAAUGAAAAGGUACCUCUAAUCUAGAAAAAAAUACAUCACCAUAUUAUAAAAAUUCAUAAAGAAUGUUACAGGAAACACCAGUUAAAGUCUUCAAAAGAUCAUUAAAUAUUUACAUUUAGUAAUAUAAGAGAACAUACAGAAACUUACAUUAGGUACAUCCCUGUUCACAACAGUCUUUAAAAUUUCUAUCCAUUCUGUCAGGUUCUGUUGGUUUAUCAGUUCCAGUGGUAGUGUAUACUAAAUAAAAGUCAAGAAUUAAUAUUUCGAAAUCCUUGCUAAAGAAAAUCCUACUUCUUUUUACUCUUCACAA
rnacentral:lncRNA from 1 species